rnacentral:hammerhead_ribozyme from 1 species
AUCCAGCUGACAAGUCCCAAGUGGGGCGAGACACGUGUCUUGGAU